CAUCAUGUAAAUCAAUUGGUUAAUAUUGUUAGACUCCAAUUGAAAAUCGCAGUGUCGGCGGUUCGAAUCCGUCCCUGGGCACCA
rnacentral:tRNA from 1 species